rnacentral:rRNA from 1 species
GACGAACGCUGGCGGCGUGCUUAACACAUGCAAGUCGAGCGGUAAGGCCCUUUCGGGGGUACACGAGCGGCGAACGGGUGAGUAACACGUGGGUGACCUGCCCUCAGCUCUGGGAUAAGCCUGGGAAACCGGGUCUAAUACUGGAUAUGACUCCAUGACGCAUGUUGUGGGGUGGAAAGCCUUGUGCGGCUGAGGAUGGGCCCGCGGCCUAUCAGCUUGUUGGUGGGGUGANGGCCACCAAGGCGACGACGGGUAGCCGGCCUGAGAGGGCGACCGGCCACACUGGGACUGAGACACGGCCCAGACUCCUACGGGAGGCAGCAGUGGGGAAUCUUGCGCAAUGGGCGAAAGCCUGACGCAGCGACGCCGCGUGAGGGAUGACGGCCUCGG